rnacentral:rRNA from 1 species
UACAGAGGUCUCAAGCGUUGUUCGGAUUCAUUGGGCGUAAAGGGUGCGUAGGCGGCGCGGUAAGUCGGGUGUGAAAUCUUGGAGCUUAACUCCGAAACUGCAUUCGAUACUGCCGUGCUUGAGGACUGGAGAGGAGACUGGAAUUUACGGUGUAGCGGUGAAAUGCGUAGAUAUCGUAAGGAAGACCAGUGGCGAAGGCGGGUCUCUGGGACAG